CCUGCAUACUGCCACACGGAACAGUGUUGCGUGAGGUCUUCUCAUUUAUCGGCCGCAGGCGUGCACGCACCUUUCUUCGCACGGAGGUGACCGCAUAUACGCGGGUCGCAUGCGAAGCCUCUGGGAGGUAGUGAUAGGCCGUCGCUAUGCACGCCCCUACUCCACUGUACCUCUACGUGGCCGUCACGCGCGGGCUGCGUUCGAGCGCGGUGGCGGCGCCGAGUUCGGCUGACGCUGCAUCUUCGCCGAGCGCAGCGUCCUCGUCGACGUCGGAGGGGGUCAGCUACGCCUCGCACCUGGUUGCUUCGAAGGAUCACUACGAGCAGUGGGGUCGCGCGCUGCUGGAGGAGAACAGCAAGCGGAUCGGCCCAGAGCAGAUGUUUCGCACGGCCAUUCGGGCCCAACAGCAGCUGCAGAUGCUUGCCGACAAGUGGACGCCGGAUGCGAAAAUUUACUGCUGCGGGUCGUUGGUGACGCACGGGCAGAUGGAGUGGGGCAGCGACCUCGACCUUGCCUGUGUCUUCGACGACCCAUACCCCGACCACUCCGUGCAGGCGAAGCGCACGGAAAAGCUGUGGUCAGUUGUCAAGCGCUACAUGCCGCAGUUUCUGCGCAACAAUCUCUUGGCCCUCACGGAGGCUCGCACCCCUGUCGUGAAACUGCGCUACGUCAACGACGACAAGGUCGCGCGGGGGCGGUACACCGUGCUGACGGAGGAGGAGGACCGCAAGUCGCGCACGACCCUGUGGGACAUACGCAACCGCCAUCUGGAUUCCAAGGACCUGGAAUACAUCGCCACAAAGAUGGGGCGGGAAAAUAUCGAGGGCAUCUGGGUGGAGCGGACGACGUAUGGCUGCCGGUGCGCGGUGCAGUGCACGUCGCGCGAGCAAGCCAUCGAGGCUGUCGGCUUCUUCCCAGAUGGGGUGAUCAUGACCAAGGGCAUGCGCGAGGACUACACGCGCGACAUGCUGGACCUCCGAUACGUGCCGGAGAUGUUCAUGUACAAGUGGGAUAUCUCUUUUGUGGCUUACGGCGUCAAGAACAGCUACCUGCUCCGCCACUAUCUGCACAACGGCCCCCCAGCUACUCGCCACGCAGCCAUGGCCGCGAAGGCGUGGGGCAAGGCCUCCGGCGUGGGGCUGGGGACGGCAGCCAUGCUCACCUCCUACGCGGUGACGGUCAUGUUUGUUCACUACCUCUUGGCAACUCGGCAGCUGGCCUGGAUCGACCCGUGGUCGCUAGCUCAUCCAGUCCACAUGCCGCGCUUCCCCGACUUCUCCCCACUUUGGGACUGCGACCCGGUCGAGCUCGGCAAGCUCUUGCACGGCUUCUUCAUCUACUACGCGGCUCACUUCAACUAUGAGAAGAACAUUGUCAGCCUCAGCCGCCCGCGGCUUUCACUCCGCUCCGACUUGAACUGGAACUUCCCGCAGAGCAAGCAGGGCACAUUCAGCUACCUCCUCGGCAUCGAAGACCCGUACGAAGACGUCGGGGCCGGCGGACUGAACCUCGGUCGCCACCUGCAUCCAGCUAAGUUCAACCAGGUAAAGCAGGAGUUCGCGCGUGCGGCGGCCACGAUGGAGCGCUACGUGCCGUCGAAUGCACCCGAAAAGACGAUCCUCGGUGUCAGACGCGGGGGUACGUCGAACCACCACCAUCACCAUAACCGCUUCGAUUAGUCGUGUGGGCCACACGUGCCUAUGCUUCUGUCUCUGCCUCUGCGCGUGACCUUUUCACGUUGAACAUCUCUUUUUCCGCUGUGCUGUGCCGCGGGUAAGUCUCUCUUGAUGUGCGGUGUGUGCGUGUGCGUGUGUGCUCUGUAGGUGUUUUGUUGUGCCUCCUUAUCGAGUUGUCUCGCAGCAGCACUCAUGUGCCCGCCUCUCCCUCCCUUCUUUGGCAAGGCGUGCGCCAUCGGCUCAUGUGCUACGCUAAUGCGUCACGUCGCCGCUCUAGGCGCCACGGCAUCUCGUGGCUGCUGGGCAUCCACUU
rnacentral:misc_RNA from 1 species